ensembl:lncRNA
AGAAGUGGCCAUCUCCGAGCGGGGCAUCUCGUGGUUCCAGCAGUUCCCCGGCAGCGCCCCCCGCUUCCUGCUGUACUACUACAAUGAAGAGGAGCAGGAGCGCCGGCCGGGGCUCCCAGAGCGCUUUGGGGCCUCCAAGGAUGCCACCCACAAUGCCUGCAUCCUGACCAUCUCCCCGGUGCAGCCAGAGGACGAAGCUGACUACUACUGCUCCUUGGCCUACUAGGGCCCUCCUCUCUUCUUUCCCAGCUUCCCCCCUCCCUUUCCCAGCCCUGCCCAGAGCUCCCUGGCCUCUGGCUGGGUGACCCUGGGCCAGUCUCUUGCCCCAGCCCGGACCCACACAACCAGUUUGGGACAUUCUCACCCCUGGGCACCCCCCCAGACCUAUCCCCUCUGGGUCUUCCUCCUGCCUGGCCAGCUCCCCUGGGGCCCCUCCCUGCUGCUUCCUGCCCCUCCCCUCCAAGUGUGUAGGCUUGCCUCAGCCCCGCCUCUUCCUGCGCGUCAUCCCAUUGCUAUGGUGAUGCUGAGCUUCUGGAGCGGCUGCCCGGGGCCGUGCCAGGAUGAGAGCCGACCCGAUGCCCCUGGGGCUGCCCGUCCGCCGAGGCCGAGUCAUCUCCGACUUUCCCAAGGUAAGCCCCAGGGCAGCCCUCAGCCUCUGCCCUUCCCAUCACCUGGGGGCCGGCCCCUUCCUAGGCAUCCAUGCCGCCUGCCCUCCCCCUGCCCGCUGCCCCCUCUGUGGCUGGGCAGGGGGGCCUUGUGCCCUCUCCCAUGGGAAGACUCUCCUCCAUGCCCUAACGCUGGACGACGGCCUCUCGCCCCCUCCGACCCAUCUUCCUUUCAGGGGCCAAAUAAGCCCAUGCCGGCUGGCUCUGGGGCCCAGGCCGUGGGAGGCAUGCAGGGAUGUCCUUGGACUCAGGCCACGCCUGGGGCCACCAGAGUCCAGAGCUUUCUGAGCAAUGGGGUGGAUUUCUUCAUUCCGCCUUGGAGCCGGUGGGGAGGACCGGAUCAGGGAGAGCCUCCACCCCUGGCGGCGCCCAACCCCCUUGAGGGUCCCUGGCGAUGACUCAGGGGACGAUGGUCCACCCAGUCAUCAGACGGGGCCACAGCGGGCAGAGCAAGACAGGCUGCCCGGCCUUCCUCUCAUGACCCAGCCACAGCCCCGCGUCUGUGUCUUGCAGUGGUACACGCCCGAGGCCUGCCUUCAGCUCAAGGAGCAUUUCCACGGGCAGGUGCAAGCUGCCUGCCGGGAGAGAAGGACGGGCACCGUGGGGUGAGUGAUAGCGCCGUGGCCCGGGACAAGCACAGCCGUGGCCUUGUGGACAGCCCCGACUGAGGCAGGAGCGCCAGCUGGCUGAGCCCAGGGCUGGGAAGCCUGAUGCCAGGGCCGUGCCCCAUUAGCUAUCCUCCCGAGAGGGAGGCUGAGCCUUCUUCUGCUGGCGGUCCAAGGCCCGGGGACAUGGGCACCGCGUGUGCCUUGUGGCAGCCUGCCUCUCCUGUCCCCGGGGCUCAUGAGGAGAGGACUGCCACAGAGGGGAAAGGCUGGCCUCUCUGCUCAAGCUCUGUGGCCAGCUUGCUUCCAGGCACCUUUGGGUGCACCAGGGAGAGGGAGGCAGGGCCGUCACUUCUCUGGCUCCUUCGCCCACCUGUGAAGUCAAGAGAGGGUGGGGCAGGCACACCCCGUACCCCUAUGCUUGGUCAGGCCGCCACAAUUGAAGAAGGGCUUGUGUGCACUGGGCCUCCUGCUCAGCACAGUCCCUGCCUUCAUGGGGCGCCAGCAAUGAAGGGAUGGCGAGAGGGAGGGGACCUGGAGAGGGAGGCCGAGCUCCUUGGGGUGUAAGGAGGCUGGGGCUGGGCUCUGGACACCAAAUGGGGGUCACGCCAGAGUGAGACCAUCCCUGGAGCCCAGGAGAAGGGAGAAGCCGAAGCUCCCACAAAGGGCCACCCUCUAUUCCAGAGAAUGUGAGGCUGGCUCUCUGCUGAGGUGGAGGGGGUUUAUAAAAGGGAACUGAGGAGGAAAGGAGGGCCCAGGAGACCAGCAGAGGCCAGGAGUGUCAGCCUGCUGU